rnacentral:rRNA from 1 species
AGAUUGAACGCUGGCGGCAUGCUUUACACAUGCAAGUCGAACGGCAGCACGGGGGCAACCCUGGUGGCGAGUGGCGAACGGGUGAGUAAUGCAUCGGAACGUACCCAGUAGCGGGGGAUAACCUCUCGAAAGAGAAGCUAAUACCGCAUACGACCUACGGGUGAAAGAGGGGGAUCGCAAGACCUCUCACUAUUGGAGCGGCCGAUGUCGGAUUAGCUAGUUGGCGGGGUAACGCCACCAAGGCUACGAUCCGUAGCUGGUCUGAGAGGACGACCAGCCACACUGGAACUGAGACACGGUCCAGACUCCUACGGGAGGCAGCAGUGGGGAAUUUGGACAAUGGGCGCAAGCCUGAUCCAGCCAUGCCGCGUGAGUGAAGAAGGCCUUCGGGUUGUAAAGCGUCUUUCGGCGGGACGAAACGGUCCGUGUUAACACCUCGGACUAAUGACGGUACCGUAGAAGAAGCACCGGCUAACUACGUGCCAGCAGCCG